rnacentral:rRNA from 1 species
UGGGGAAUUUUGCACAAUGGGGGAAACCCUGAUGCAGCGACGCCGCGUGGGUGAUGAAGGCCUUAGGGUUGUAAAGCCCUUUCAGCAGGGAAGAUGAUGACGGUACCUGCAGAAGAAGCCCCGGCCAACUCCGUGCCAGCAGCCGCGGUAAUACGGAGGGGGCUAGCGUUGUUCGGAAUCACUGGGCGUAAAGCGCGCGUAGGCGGCUUGGAAAGUUGGGUGUGAAAGCCCGGGGCUCAACCCCGGAACGGCACUCAAAACUUCCGGGCUUGAGACUUGGAGAGGUGGGCGGAAUUCCGAGUGUAGAGGUGGAAUUCGUAGAUAUUCGGAAGAACACCAGUUGCGUAGGCGGCUCACUGGCCAAGUUCUGACGCUGAGGCGCGAAAGCGUGGGGAGCAAACAGGAUUAGAUACCCCCGUAGUCC